rnacentral:rRNA from 1 species
UACGUAGGGGGCUAGCAUUGUCCGGAUUUAUUGGGCGUAAAGAGCGUGUAGGCGGCCAGGUAGGUCUGCUGUGAAAACUCGAGGCUCAACCUCGAGACGUCGGCGGAAACCAUCUGGCUAGAGUCCGGAAGAGGAGAGUGGAAUUCCCGGUGUAGCGGUGAAAUGCGCAGAUAUCGGGAGGAACACCUAUGGCGAAGGCAGCUCGCUGGGACGUUACUGACGCUGGAGAACGCGAAAGCGUGGGGAGCAAACAGG